rnacentral:antisense_RNA from 1 species
CGAGGAUCUUGCGGGAGGGGGGCGCCAGUGUUCGGGGCCGUUUUGGCGGCUAUGCGGGAUUGGCAGGAGCUGCGGUGCUCACACUUGCCUCGCGGACCGCCAUUUCACAUCCAGCAGAGGAGGCGGGGGCAGCCGCUGAGACGGUUUUUCACAAGAAAUUAUUUUAAUAGAGAUGAGGUCUCACUAUAUUGCCCAAGCUGGUCUCGAACUCCUGGGCUCAAGCGAUCUUCCUGCCUCAGCCUCCCAAAGUGCUGAGAUAACAGGUAUGAGCCACCAUGCCCUGCGAAAUUAUUGUUUUUGAGACAGGGUCUCACUCUGUCACCCAGGCUGGGGUGCAGUGACCCAAUCUCAACUCACUGCAGUCUUGACUUCCCAGGCUCAAGCAAUCCUGCCACCUCAGCCUCCUGAGUAGCUGGGACUACAGGCAUGCACCUCUACACCCAGCUAUUUUUCAUAUUUUUUUAGAGACAGGGUUUCACUAUAUUGCCCAGGCUGGUCUCGAACUCCUGAGCUCAAGUGAUCUGCCUGCCUUGGCCUCCCAAAGUUCUGGGAUUACAGGUGUGAGCCAUGGCGCCCAGCCUCAAGCUAAACUAUUUUUUGUGUCAUCCCUUUUCUUUCCUUCACUUUCAGAUAACUCAGUUUUCUUAACUACUGUAGGGCAAAUGUCUGAAUCAUUUAGUCCAGUGUUCCUCAACCAGGGGUGAUUUUUGCCUCCCUAGGGGACAUUUGGCAAAAUAUCUGGAGGCAUUUUUGAUUAUCACAUCUUACAAUGCAUAGGGCAGCCCCUACAACGCAAAGAAUUAUCAGGUCCAAAGUGUCAAUAGUGCAGGUGUUGAAAAACCCUGGCCUAGUUUAAAGUAAAUUUUUACCCAGCCCUUCAUCCAGUCUCUUGCCUUUAUGAAACCAUGAUGGAAAAGAAACUCAUUCCCUUUCAGAGGCAUUUGGAAGGCCUAAGUAAGUAUGGCAAACUUUGGAGUCAAUUGCAUCAACUAUACAAAGUCCCAAAAGGCUUUAUGCAGGUUUCUGCAAUUUCUCCAUAGAACCUUCCCGGGUACAAGGUAGGCACAUAAAUAUUUAUUGCCUAAAUGAAUAAUAAUAAAAUAAUUCUUGGCCAAAAGACAUAUUUUAUUUCUUUCUCUUUAAACCAAAGUCAGAUUUAUCGUGUGGUGAGAGAUGAAUUUCCUGAACAGAGAUCUCUCUAUUCAUUUUAACCAAUUAAUUUACUCAGUUACUCAGAGAAGCAAAACUUUUCUGAAACAACUCUUCCACUUCCAUAAGUUAGCAGUUAUAGUCUUAAGGAAGGAAUCGAUAGCCUAUAAAUUAAAGAUGAUGUUUAAGGAACAAAAAACAAAAGAAACUUUCAGAAUAGAGUAAUAUUAGAACUGAUGCCUGAGCUUUCCAGGACACUCAUUUAAAUUACAUAUCCAGAAUUGAUAUUGGAGCAUUUCCAAUGGAUUAUAUUAUAGAUAGGCAGGAGGAGACCAAACACACAUAGAGUAAGGAUAGAUAAAAUUCCCAAUUUAAAUAAUUAAGAUGCAAAAUCUCAGAAGCAAGGUAUCUAUUUGGAUCAACAUAUCUCAGGGUAGUUUCCCCUGGCCCCAAAGUUUAUUGCAUUUUAAUAUUCACAGUGUAAGUCACAUUCCAGAAAAACUCCCACUAAAAAGCUUUUUACUGAGACUGGGCAGGGUGGCUCAUGCCUGUAAUCCCAGUACUUUGAAAGACCAAGGUGAGAUUAUUGCUUGAGCCCAGAAGUUUGAGACCAGCUUGGGCAACAUAGUGAGACCUUGUCUCUACAAAAAAUUAAACAUUAGCCAGGCGUGGUGAUGUAUGCCUGUAGUCCCACUUACUCAGGAGGCUGAGGCAGGAGGAUCGCUGGAGCCUAGGAAGUUGAAGCUGCAGUGAGCCGUGAUCACCACUGCACUCCAGCCUGGGUCACAGAGCAAGACCCUGUCUCAAAAAACACACACAGAAAACUUCGUUAUUGACACUGGAUUCUCCUAGAUUUUGCUUUAUUUUACAUUCUCAUUCCAGAGGCCAGAAAAGACUACUUAUUCUCAGAUGUGUAAAUAUAGAUAAGUCCUUCUGUUUCUUCAUUUUCUCAAUAAAAUGUAUUUUUCCAAUUUUGAAAGUUUUAAAUGCAUAGCAUGGAAAAUAUGGAAGACAAUAAAGAAAAAUAUAGAACAUUCAG